GGUCGCUACAAGAUUGGUUUUCUUCUCUUGAAGAUUAUCAAUUAGCUCAAUUCUACCACCUUUCUACCUUGCAGGCAGUAAAUGCUAUUUUCUCUGAACUUCUUGGUGAUGCUUCGUUGUAUAAUAAGCAACUCCAUCAAGAGUUUUUUGAUAUGAGAUGCUGCUCUCUCAGAUCCCAGACAAUUGCCCAGAAAUGAGCUUAAACAGCUCAUCCCAAAAGUCUUGCUCACAAACUACGAAAAGCUACAUGUCACCUCACAAUCCAUUCAAAUAACAAAGUCCUCCUUUAAGAGGAACUUAGAUGGAACGGUGCAGACCACCUUCCAACCUCCCAGACAUUCAACAGGAUCUUUACUCAUUUUUCAAACCAUGAUGAUCCAGCCAUUACCCAAAGAGCAGAAAGAUUUUUCCAUCAGAGCUGUUACUGCCAACAAACAUUACGUCUAUACCAUGCGGAUAGAUGGCAGUUUAAGACUUCUUCUGCAGGAGUCAAAGGACUAGGUUGUCCUUCUGCAUUUACUUUUGUGGUUUGGACGAAAGGUCUGGUAGAAAUUUUUGUAGUUUGGUCUAUUUGUCGUGAUAAGGCAGGAAAGUCAAAAGAGUCGUAUGAUAUUGGUGAAAACAUCAUACAAGGUUGUACCAAGGGUAGAAUAGGAGGAGGAGAGGCAACAGGUGGAAGAGGAGCAUACCUUUCUUUUCUGAGGAUUUCAAGAGCAAGCUCAUAAAUAGGCAGAGGCUUCUAUAUUGUUGUUGAUUGUUGAAUGUUGAUGGUUAAUUU
rnacentral:misc_RNA from 1 species